rnacentral:rRNA from 1 species
GAGGAAUGCAAGAUACGUGCUGAAUUUAAGCAUAUAAUUAAGCACCAAAGAAACCAACCGGGAAUCUCUUAGUAAUGGCGAAUGAACAGAGAUGUCGAUCUCCCUGAAUCUUAAAAAGAGUUGUGGUGGGAAAUUCCGACGUGCCGUUUCGGGACGAGAGUACUUUGGAACAAGUUGCGAUAAAGGGUGACAGCCCUUCUGUUCCGAUUCUGCACUUCGGAGUUCUUUCGACGUGAGUCACAUUCCGUGCGAGUGGAAUGCUAACUGGGUGGUUCCGGCUAUCCAAAUCUGUGGAAGCCAGAGUCCGAUAGCGAACAAGUACCGUGAGGGAAAUGUGAAAAGAACUUUGAAAAGAGAGUUAAAAGAGCCUCAAAUCGCGAAGUGACGAAAGUGGCUUGACCGAGUUUGAUUGAAGCGCCGAACAUUGUUCGUGCGUGAAAUCGAAGGCCGGCUGGGAUGAGGUGGGGACGCUCGGACUUCGGUCCUUAUCAGGCGAAUCUACCCGCAUCUUACGUGGCUUCUUUGGUUUAGCCGUCCCGUCUUGUAACACGGACCAAGGAGUCCUUCACUCAUGCGAGUCGAAUCCGCUUAAACGGAAAGACGAAUGAAAGUGAAACGGUUUUAACAAUCCGACCCGAGCUGCAAGCUUGAGGCUGAGUGUGUGUGAAGGGACCCGAAAGAUGGUGAACUAUUCCUGUGCAACGUGAAGCCAGGGGAAACUCUGGCGGAAGCGUGAAGCGAUACUGACGUGCAAAUCGUUCGUCUGAUAUGGGUAUAGGGGCGAAAGACUCAUCGAACCAUCUAGUAGCUGGUUUCUGUCGAAAUUUCCCUCAGGAUAGCUGGAGUUGGUACGGUUUCGUGUUGUAAAGCCAAUGAUGAGAGGUAUCAGAGCCUGACGGCUUUGACCUAUCCUCAAACUCUGAAAGCGCGAAACGACGCUGUUGCUUCAUUGAGCAGCGUUUUCUACGACAACUCCAAGUGGGCCAUUUUUGGUAAGCAGAAAGGGCGAUAAGGGCUGCUCCUCGAGAAGAGUUGAAGUGUCUAAUCAGUGCUGACCGGAUACCACAAAAGGUGUUGUUUCAUCCUGACAGCAGGACGGUGGUCAUGGAAGUUGAAAUCCGCUAAGGAGUGUGUAACAACUCACCUGCCGAAUGAAUCAGCCCUGAAAAUGGAUUGCGCUUUAGCACUGAACUGAUACUCUUCGCUGGCUCGACAUAUCGGCCAGGCGGUAGGCAGAACGUGACAGUACGCUAUGAAUGCGUUGCGUAAGCGAUGCAGAAGCUGCUGUGAGUGCAGAUCUUGGUGGAAGUAGCAAAUAUUCAAAUAAGAUCUUUGAAACCUGACGAGGGGAAGGCUUCCAUGAGAACAACGAUUGGUCAUGGGUUAGUCGGUCCUAAGAGCCGAAGCAUGUCUUUUGAAUCGAUAUUCGACGCUCGAAAGGGGAGCCGGCUAAUAUUCCUGCACCAUUUGACAAGGCGCGGCAACGCAAUAGAGUGUUCAAUGCAAAACAGAGCCCUUCUCUGGCGUUUUCUUUGCCAAUGAACAUGAUCGGCUGCCCUGGAAUCAGCUCGGCUGGAGAAAGGGAGUUGGAUUGAAUCAGUCACCGAAUUUCGGAGACGUGCUGUGCUCUGCUUUUUGCUCUAGAAAAGGACACUUGUUUCCAUUGUCAGUCGGCCGUACUCAUAUCCGCAUCAGGUCUCCAAGGUGUUCAGCCUCUGGUAGAUGGGUAACCGCAAUUCAGGGAAGUCGGCAAAAUAGAUCCGUAACUUUGGGAAAAGGAUUGGCUCUGAGAGCCGAGCGGAAUUGGGGACUGACCAGGUUUGCUCGUGAGUUGCCUUUGAACGCAAGUUUGGGGGCUUUCUCUGAGUUUAACCACGCGAUGUCCUUCAACCGCGACAAACGGCAAACUCAGAACUGAAACGGACAAGAGGAAUCUGACUGUUUAAUCAAAACAUAGCAAUGCGCAAGCCACGGUUGGUGUGAACGCGUUGUGAUUUCUGCUCAGUGCCAUGAAAGUCAAUGUGUCGAAAUUCAUUGAAGCUCUGGUCAACAGCGGGAGUAACUAUGACUCUCUUAAGGUAGCCAAAUGCCUCGUCAUCUAAUUAGUGACGCGCAUGAAUGGAUUAACGAGAUUCCUACUGUCCCAAAUUGCGCCCCAGCGAAACCACAGCCAAGGGAACGGGCUUGGAAUGAUCAGCGGGGAAAGAAGACCCUGUUGAGCUUGACUCUAGUCCGACUUGUAAAGUAACUUGGAAGAUGUAGCAUAAGUGGGAGCCUUGCGACCUUGAAAUACCACUGCUUUCAAUGUGACUUUGCUUACUCCGUUAUAGUGCGCUUUCAAUGAGCAAAGCCUUUGUCAAAAGGUGAGCAUAUAGGAAGAAGAUGUCAGGUUGGGAGUUUGGCUGGGGCGGCACAUCUGUUAAACAACACCGCAGGUGUCCUAAGGCAAGCUCAAAGAGGACAGAAACCUCUUGUAGACCGAAAGGGGAAAAGCUUGCUUGAUUUUGACUUUCAGUACGAGUACAAACUGCGAAAGCAUGGCCUCUCGAUCCUUUACAUUUGGGUUGGUACCAAGUAGAGGUGUCAGAAAAGUUACCACAGGGAUAACUGGCUUGUGGCAGCCAAGCGU